rnacentral:rRNA from 1 species
ACGUAGGUAAUCUACCUUCGAGUGGGGAAUAACUUGUGGAAACGCAAGCUAAUACCGCAUAACAUCGAAAGAUCAAAGCUUUAUGUGCCUGAAGAGGAGCCUGCGGCAGAUUAGCUAGUUGGUAAGGUAACGGCUUACCAAGGCGACGAUCUGUAUCCGGUCUAAGAGGACGGUCGGACACACUGACACUGAACAUACGGGUCAGACUCCUACGGGAGGCAGCAGUCGGGAAUUUUGGGCAAUGGGGGCAACCCUGACCCAGCAACGCCGCGUGAAGGAUGAAGUCUUUCGGGAUGUAAA